rnacentral:lncRNA from 1 species
UCUGAGGGGACUCUGUCCCUUAGGAGGCUCUGGAGAGAGGCCCUUUGGAACUCUCUCUGGUGAAGUCAGUUGAGAUGGAGCUGGCCUGGUGUCACUAGAAUCCUUGCUUAGACCUUGUGAUUCUACCAGCUUGAAGAGCCUUUGCUUGGUGAGGCAGCAGGGAAUGGAAGGGUUGUAAGACCUGGGAGUGAGGCAUGUGUGGA